rnacentral:rRNA from 1 species
GCCUAGGAAUCUGCCUGGUAGUGGGGGAUAACGUCCGGAAACGGACGCUAAUACCGCAUACGUCCUACGGGAGAAAGCAGGGGACCUUCGGGCCUUGCGCUAUCAGAUGAGCCUAGGUCGGAUUAGCUAGUUGGUGGGGUAAUGGCUCACCAAGGCGACGAUCCGUAACUGGUCUGAGAGGAUGAUCAGUCACACUGGAACUGAGACACGGUCCAGACUCCUACGGGAGGCAGCAGUGGGGAAUAUUGGACAAUGGGCGAAAGCCUGAUCCAGCCAUGCCGCGUGUGUGAAGAAGGUCUUCGGAUUGUAAAGCACUUUAAGUUGGGAGGAAGGGCAGUAAAUUAAUACUUUGCUGUUUUGACGUUACCGACAGAAUAAGCACCGGCUAACUCUGUGCCAGCAGCCGCGGUAAUACAGAGGGUGCAAGCGUUAAUCGGAAUUACUGGGCGUAAAGCGCGCGUAGGUGGUUCGUUAAGUUGGAUGUGAAAUCCCCGGGCUCAACCUGGGAACUGCAUUCAAAACUGACGAGCUAGAGUAUGGUAGAGGGUGGUGGAAUUUCCUGUGUAGCGGUGAAAUGCGUAGAUAUAGGAAGGAACACCAGUGGCGA